GUCCGAGCGUAGCGCGACGUUAGGAUCGCGCCGGAAAAUCCCCCAAAAAUCAUCAAAAAAUAACUUAGACCAAAGAGCAGUCGGCGGGGCUUCGCCAGAUCGGCGCAGUCGAUUUUAACCUUUAGAAGAGAACCAAUUCUGGAAAACAACCAAAGUUUCUUUGAUUGAAUACGCACGUAAUGCAUUGGAAUAUGAUGGGGGAAUUAAGGUUUAACAAUGAUAAAAUGAAGAUAUUACUAAAACGGCC